rnacentral:rRNA from 1 species
UACGUAGGGUGCAAGCGUUGUCCGGAAUUAUUGGGCGUAAAGAGCUCGUAGGCGGUCUGUCGCGUCUGCUGUGAAAUCUCAGGGCUUAACCCUGAGCGUGCAGUGGGUACGGGCAGACUAGAGUGCGGUAGGGGAGACUGGAAUUCCUGGUGUAGCGGUGAAAUGCGCAGAUAUCAGGAGGAACACCGGUGGCGAAGGCGGGUCUCUGGGCCGAUACUGACGCUGAGGAGCGAAAGCGUGGGGAGCGAACAGG